rnacentral:lncRNA from 1 species
CUCCGCCGGCGGAAUGCGGCGGAGCAGGAAGCGGCGGAGGCGGUUGAACAGGCGACUGCGUCAUGAGCCGCGGCGAUUGAUCUUAGAGAGAUCCGUGAAGGAUCUUGUGGCGUUGAGGAAGAGGGGAGAUAAUCGAGAGAGGAGGAGGAAGAAGAAAGUAUAAAAAUUCAGUGUGAGUAAUGAAUUUCGUCAGAGCGCGAAAGGUUCUUCGACUCCUUUUUUUUGCCUUCCCUUCUCGUUUUUUUUUUUUUAACUUGGUUUUCAGAUUUUCUACCUUUUUUUUGUUUUUAAGGAUUUUUUUGGUUCAUCUAAUUAAUAAUUAUUAUUAUUUGGGUUACCCAAGAGUCGAAGCAGGACGAAACAG